rnacentral:lncRNA from 1 species
GAUAGCACCAGUCAUGCCUGCCUAUGCCAGUUGAAGAACUUACUGCUCCUCUUCUGAAUGCAACUAGACUGUAGAUCUUACCAGGUUGCAGGAAGGAUGUGUACUGUCAGCAACUCUCAGAAGGCUGAACAAACGAGUCCCACAGCAGCCCUGGGAAGGAUCUCUGCUGUACCUUUUGGGAGGGCAGAUUUUUUACUGGAGGCUAGCACGUUUUGAUCAUGAAACUGGACUGCGAGAGAAAUUUCCCUCAGGACACAGACAUGCUGUGUGAUGAGAAAAUCCAGCCUGUUGGUAUUUAAAUGAUCUGGAAGACUGCACAUAUCUUCUGCUGGACUGAGACCAAUGUUGUCAACUCAAAGUUGUAUAUUGUAUUUACUCCAGUUGAAUUGUGCUAGAUGAAACACAUGAAAUACUAUCCCUUGAAUACUCAUUCAGUAUGUCCAGCAGACAUGAAUUGGGCUGCCAUAUGCAAAAUUUGAUUGUACUCCCCAGAGAAAUAAAGCAUGAGAUAGGUUAGAUGUCUUAGUGUAA